GGGGUCCUACGGGGGGCAGCAGUGGGGGAUAUUGCACAAUGGGGGGAACCCUGAUGCAGCGACGCCGCGUGGGUGAAGGAGCGUUUCGGCGCGUAAAGCCCUAUCGGCAGGGAAGAAGGAGGACGGUACCUGACUAGGAAGCCCCGGCUAACUACGUGCCCGCCGCCGCGGUAAUACGUAGGGGGCAAGCGUUAUCCGGAUUUACUGGGGGUAAAGGGGGCGCAGACGGCAGCGCAAGCCAGGAGUGAAAGCCCGGGGCCCAACCCCGGGACUGCUCUUGGAACUGCG
rnacentral:rRNA from 1 species